CGGAUUCAUUUCUGCUGCACCACAACAGAACUCCAAAGUUUUCCUUUCUUCGUUUUUUCUGUUUUGCGCUUGAUUUUUAGAGAAUUAUAGGUUUGAAACUAUUGUCUUUUUCUUAAACAUGGUGUGCUCCUUUUUCUUGUCCUAUUGUUCCUAUGGAUGUGUUUAAUUUGAAAAAGAUUUCAGAAGAAUAAUGCUUUCUGUGUACCUAUACCAAUCAUGAAAAGGAAAGCUCAAUCUUGUUUUUCUGAAAAGAUGGAGCAAGUGAUGAAUAAGCGAAACAUAACAGUCAUUACAGAAACCACUUGUGAUUUCAGGCCGUAGCUUCUAGGAGGCCGCUCUCAGCUACAUGUCCUUUUCUCUGGGUAGUUGGCUUUGGUAAGGGAGCCUCUGGGUGAGACCUUGGGCUUGUGGACAGUCCUUUCUCUGAGUGUCUCUUGCAGGGCGUGGUACCAGGCCUUGGGAGCACAAAGGUAAGUAAGAUGUGUCCCUGCUCACAGAGGUCAUCACCAAAAGGAGGGAACAGAUGGGAAUAAAAAUCACUAAAAUACAGUCUGAAAAGAACUGGUCGAAGCAGGAAUGACAGACAGACAAACUGACAGACCAGAGUGAGAAGCCUACAGCUCCGAUUGGACCCCUAGCCCUAAAGUGCGGCCCUAAAAAGCCAAAAAAAAAAAAAAAAAAGGCUUUUUUCUUCAGAAUGCUUAGUAGUUGAUUUUGUAGCCUAAACUUUCUAGACUGGUGCAGUAGGGAAAGGAACCAGGAAAGGUAGGGGCUGGGCUUGAUUGAAUUGUUCACCCAUUUGCUGAUGGAGCCAGAAAAAAACCCAUAACAGCAGAUGUACAAAUUUUCAUCUGUAAUAUUUAUUUAAAACAGGUAUGUCUGAGAGUAUAUGCUUGGGUAAAUUAUAUAUUGAAUUCUACUGCUUAGUAUGAUUGUGUUCAACUAGAUGCAUUUAGUAUUAACUGUGAGAUAUGCUGCAGCAAUAAUAAGAAAUGCAGUGGGUGCCUUUCUGCUGUUAUCAAAAUCCAUUAGCAAGUUUUGCUGUGCUUGACUGCUCUCCAUUGUUAGGCUUUAUGGUUCAGACUAAAGCUGUAGAUGUAAAUGACAUCCUUUCUACAACACUUUCUCAAGGUCUCACAGACAAUGAUGUUGUAUUUUGAGCAAACAUUUGUUUACUCCAUAGUAAUAGUUGAUGCUAGACAGCUAUGGUUUGCUUUAGUUCUGCCCCUCUGUUUUAUGUAGGAUUUUAGCCAGGUAGAGAAAAGUAGUUGAUAGUAUUCUUUUUUCUUUCUUUCUUUCCCUUUUUUUUUUUUUUUUGGACCACACGCACAGCAUAAAGAAGUUGCUGGGCCAGGAAUUGAUCCCGUGCUACAGUUGUGACCUGUGCUGCAACUGCAGCCACGUUGGAUCUUUAACCUGCUGCACCACAUGGGUGUUGGCAGUGUUCUUGAGAUUCUCGAAACUACAGUGACUCCUGACACCCACUCUUCUUUAUUGCUUUAGCUACAGAGAGACAAGAGCUCAGGCCCAGGGAUAACCUUUGGUGUAGAAGAUCCUGUGAAAAGUGGGUAAAGCUGAUUCUUAAGCCACUAAAGCCAAGAAACAAACAAGCAAACCAAAAUUUAGUUUUUGGAGUAGGAGUUUAAAUGUAGGAAAUCUUCUCUUUGCAAGGUGCAAGAUGUUAUGUCAUGAUGUUGAGUGUUUAUUGGUUUUUGUUUGCUUUUUUAAGGGUUGAGAUCUUUUAAGAAUUUUAGAAUCUUCAUUUCUUUAGCUAUUUAAAAAUUUUUUAUUCUUUUGCUUUUUUAGGGCCUCACCUGCAGCAUAUGGAAGCUCCUAGGCUAGGGGUUGAAUCAGAGCUAUAGCUGCCAGUCUGUGUGCUACAGCCACAGCAAUGCAGGAUCCAAGCCAUGUUUGUGACCUUUACCAUAGCUCAUGGCAACGGCUAGAUCCCUGACCCACUGUGUGAAGCUAGGGAUCGAACCCAAAUCCUCAUGGAUACUAGUUGGAUUUGUUUCUGCAGCACCACAAUGGGAACUCCUCUUUAGCUAUUUAAAGAUUUGGAAUAAAGAUUUAGAAACUUUUGGAGUUCCCAUCGUGGCACAGUGAAUAUGAAUCCGACCAGAAACCAUGAGGUUACCGGUUCCAUCCCUGGCUUCACUCAGUGGGUUAAGGAUCCGGCAUUGUCCCGAGCUGUGGUGUAGGUUGCAGAUGCAGCUCGGAUCCCUCGUUGCUGUGGCUGUGGUGUAGGCUGGCAGCUAUAUCUGUGAUUAGACCCUUAGCCUGGGAACCUCUGUAUGCUGUGAGUGCGGCCCUAAAAAGACAAAAAAAAAAAAAAAGAUUUAGAAACUUUUUUUGGGGGGGGGCAGUAGCAGAUCACUUUAUUAAUCGGAGGAAAACUGUGCACUGCCUUUCCAGAAAAAGACAUGCAUACAUUCACUCAACAAGUUUAUUCAGCAGGUGUAUCAAAUGACUACUACCAGACAUAUUUAAAGAUGUUCAGAAUAUAUCAGUGAACAAAAUAGAAAAAAGAACCCCAGUCCUCCAAAACCUUGUCCCUUGUGGCACUUACAUUUUAGUGGAGUCAGCAAGCACUAAACAUAGUAAGUAGGAACAUUGUGCAGUGUAUGAGGAUGUGGUAAGCGCUGUGGAAAAAAUACGAUACAGAAGGGAAGCCUGGUGGUUGUUGCAGUUUAAACAGAAGUUCAGGAUAGGCCUGAUAGGAUGAUAUUUGAGCAAAAGGUUCUAGGUGGUGCUCAAAUUAGUCAUUUGGAGUUCUGGGCUUUGAGCAUGCCAGGCAGAGGGUGGGAGCAAGGAAAACAGCAUGGUUGGAGCCGGACAACAAGGAGAAGGGUGGGUGUUAGUUUUCUGGGGUUGCUGGGUGACUCAGAUCGACAGAAAUGUAUUCUAGGCCAGGAGUCUGAAGCAAAGGUGUGGGCAGAGUUGGUCCCUUCUGGAGGCUGAGUAGUAUUCAUCCCCUGCUUCUCUCCUAGCUUCUGGUGGCUGCCAGCAUCCCUGGGCUUACAGACCAUCACUCCAGUCUCUGCCUCUGGGUUUACUUCUCUGUCUCAUCUCUCUGUACAUGUCAUCAGUUUUAGGACCCACCCCAAAUCCAGGAUGAUCUCAUCUUAAAAUCCUUAGCAGUUGGGAGUUCCCGUCGUGGCUCAGUGGUUAACGAAUCCAACUAGGAACCAUGAGGUUGUGGGUUUGAUCUCUGGCCUCGCUCAGUGGGUUAAGGAUCUGGCAUUGCUGUGAGCUGUGGUGUGGGUCGCAGAUGCAGCUCGGAUCCUGCGUUGCUGUGGCUCUGGUGUAGGCUGAUGGCUACAGCUCUGAUUAGACCCCUAGCCUGGGAACCUCCACGUGCUGUGGGAGCGGCUUGAGAAAAGGCAAAAAGACCAAAAAAAAAAAAAAAAAAAAAAAA
rnacentral:lncRNA from 1 species